CCAAGUCAAAAUAGCUUCCAUUCCUUCUUAUUUCCAUUCAGCUUAACCAAAAGCCAAUUUCCCCUUUCUUCACUUCAUGUUGGAGCCGAGAGAGAGAAGAGAGUUGAGAAAAAAAAAACUUCAUCCUCUCCUUCUUAUCAUCAGUCAAGAGUUAAGGCUGAUUUAGCCAUGGUAAUUCCACAAAAUCUCCCUAUUUCGUCAAGCCUAAACCAUGAGUGAGAAAGAGACAAGAAAGCCAUAUUGGGAGGUGAAGAAAACGGAGGAAACCUGGACCGAAGGAGAAGGAAGUGGACAGCCUGCAUUUUUUUUUCCAGCUUGCUUGAACCAUGGAGGAAUCAAGAAGGUGAGCCAACUUCUAGCUUGAUUUGUGGCAGAAAAAUAAGGUAAUAUGGCUGAAAAACUUCAAUCUUUCCUUAUACUUUAAAAAGAUGUGAAUACAUGUUUGAUUUGAAGUUUGAUAGAGGUAGAAACUAGUGGAAGUAGCUUGUUUGUAGCUGGAAAGUUUCCAGGUUGAAUCGAACUAGUCAAGGCUGCCAUCUCUUUUAGCUUUUGGUUUAUUUUGCUGGAUGUUUGCUAGGGAAUCAGUUAUUCUUUUGAUAGCUGAAUAUUGGCAGAAAUAUUUCAUGUAUGCAAUAGUUUUGGCUGCUGGAAUUUUUAGGAGGAAGCCGAGAGAGUUGAGCUAUCAAUUUUCAACCCUUAUUUGCAAUUUUUGUUAAGUUUUGCUAGGAAAUGCUCGAUUAAUACCAUACCUUAUAUUAUAAACAUGUGAUUGUAUGACUUCUGGAUGAAGCUAAGUAAGAAAGGUGUUGUUUUGAUGAGAAAAAAAAAAGUGAAGACAGCUUGAGGAAAAUUGGAGGAACUUUGCUCCAUCCUUGUCACAGCUUGCUGUCUCGUCCGUUUGAGGAGUUUCCACUAGGAAGUCACACUCUAACUGUUAUAUUUCUUGUUUUGUAUGAUAUAUAGCAUGUUGGUUUUGAUCUUGGCUGCAAAUUGCUGGUUUAGAGGUGAGAUUUGCAGAGAUAAAGUUGAAAUAACUCUUGUGAAAGCUGGAAAUUCGGGUAACAGUUACCUCUGGACAGUUUUAGUAAACGGAUCAUAACUUAGUGUAGAAAAAUCAAAAUUGAGUGCCGUCAAUUGUGUUUGAAACUAUACUCAUAGAUCUUUCCAACGGUAUAAAAUUGGAGCUGUGGUUCGUUUUAUAUAUGCACCAGAAAAUCAGCAAAGUUGACUGAAAAAUCGGUCGUGAACAAGUAAAAAUUGGGAUGUUGUGGUAACUUGUGACUCAAUUUGGAUUAACUUAUGAACCAAAUAUCCUUGAGAUGUCUUCUAAAAAUUGUUAGUAUUUCAAGUCUAGUUUUAAACAAGAUAAUUUGUAUGAGUUUUUGACAUUUAUAACUUAAGUUAUGAUUUUUCCAAAGAAAGAAUGCUUGCUGGAAUUUCAGCUUUGAUCGCUAAAUUUUUCAAGAUGAUGUUAAGCUCAAUUUGCUCAAAACACCCUAGAAGACUUUUAAACUACAAGUAUGUGUUGGAAAUGAACCAAAACCAUGGACCUUAAGUGGUUUAAACUCCAUUUAUUUCACUGUUUUCAUGGCUGGAAUUCUCCUUGAGGCUGACCGAAAGAGAGAGUGAUUUUAUUUAGCUUUAUUCUUGGUUUUGUGUGGUGAAAUCAACUUGUUAAUGUCCUAAACACGUGAUUAAACAUUAACUUUGGUAUGAGUAGUGAAUUGGAGUAGAAAAUGAAAGGUUUUGGGAGGUGAAAACUUCACUUUUACAUGUUUCAUGUCCCAAGCAAUAAAUUUCCCGUUUUAGUUAAGGAAAAUGAAAAUGAGUGUUAAAACGCUAAUAUCAUGUUUACUAUAUAUUUUAGCCAUGUCAUGUAAUUUUUCCAGCUUGCAUAUGUUCCAUUUGUUUGCUUAUGGAAAUUUAAGCUUGUGGAGUUGAACUUUUGCUUGAUGGCCAGCCUUGGUAUGGAGACAUGUGAGCUGAAUACUUGUCUAUUUUUUGGGGCUUUAUGGUCUAAAACUAGUAGCUUGUACAGCCUAUCAUUUGUGGUCUUGAUUUGGAUGGUUUGGCCAUGAAAUUUUGUAUUGAAUUUGGAGAGGAAAUAUAGGAUAAAACAGGGGUUAUGCUGUCCAAAUUUUGGGGCAGCUUACUACCUUGAUUUUGGACUGAUUUGGUGAUGUACUUGCCUAAUAUGCUUAGUGAACCUUUAAGCUUUGCUUAUGUAUUGCAUUUUCGUUGAAAUGGAAGGGUUUCAUUGCGAUUUUCUUCCAAAUUGCUGGCUAAAAUUGUGCUUGUUUGUCGAUGGAGAGUGCAGCCUAUUACAUUGUUGUUUUUCUAACCUUUUAGUAAUUGGUUUUGGCCAAAACUUGUUCCAAACUUUGGAGGAGCCUUUUGUGCGUGAAUUUGAAUGAAAACUAUGAAGAUUGGGAGGUGACCUCAUGAUUGUACUUGUUUCAUGGCUGCAAAAAAUUCUGAUUUGGAGGGCAGUUUUGCACCUUGCUACCUUUUAGCCUCAACGUCUUUAGUUUGAAAGUCUUUUGGACACAACCUCGCUGACUUGACUUGAGAAAACCUUGUUUCUUUCAUUGGUUCGCCGCUGGAAAAUUUCCCACCAUGAAGCGAAUAAGGAACUUGUUGGUUAUUCAUGUUUCUUGAGUCCAAAAUGCUCUUAUACGCUUCAAAACCCUACUUGAGUUUUUGCCCUAGAGUAUACUUAAAUUUUCCUUGAUUUGCAUUCUAAAUAUGGCUAUGUAUGUUGGGUUUUGAAAAAAAAAAUUAAAUUAACUUGGUGAGGUAUACGACUCAUAGUCGAGUCUAAAUUAUGAAUUCUGUUCACUUGGUUAUUCUUAGGGCUUGUCUGAUCAAGGGGGCAAUCCAGGAGGAAACUUUCGACACUAUUUGUGCUUGAACUAGUGAGUGUUCCAACUGCAAGUUCCAUGCUACUUGUUGCGAAAAUAUGACUUGUUACUUGAAUUGACUUGUUAUUACAUAGGUGAGUGUGUACUUUAUGACACUCGACCUAACUUGACUGAAUUCCUGUUUUACUACUAUAAGUGAAUUGUUUACAAGCGAACUGAGAUUCAUGCGCAUGAGUUGAAUGUAACGGUCUGGAUCCUAAACCCCAUAGGCUAGUUAAUCGAGUCGAGCCGGCAAGGGCCUGGUCGAUUAGAUAACGAACCCUGGGUCUACUGUUUUGUUGAAUGGAGUGUUAUCUCCUCGACUAAUUGGUAUACUCGAGUAUUACCACCACUGUUUAUGUUUGGAGUUCGGGCCCGGUAGGGUGUUGAUUGGUGGAUGGAGGUUGGAGUUAAGUGGUGAUCUACUGGACUUGUUAUGAUUCCAUGGUUGACGGAGUGUCAACAGAUUCUGAACAAGUUGUCACGGAACCUGUUCCCGAGAACAGACUGUAUCCUUUUAUAUGCAUGUGUUAUCGGCUGUACACGGUUAAAUGAGUUCUCUGGAUGUGACGUUCUUUAUGGAAAAUGUGAUCAUGCUAUCAUAUGAAUGCUAAAAUGCCUAAUUGCUUGUUGUUCUCUUGGAACCUCACUGAGCUUUUAGCUCAUCCCUUCAUUUGUUUUCCUUAACAGGGUACGGGGAUGACAAGGACAAGAAUAGUGCUAGUUGUAAUAGGAAAUCUUAAUCUUGUAUUUGGACGGC
rnacentral:lncRNA from 1 species